AGAGCGAACGCUGGCGGCAGGCUUAACACAUGCAAGUCGAGCGGGCGGUAGCGAAUAACGGUCAGCGGCAGACGGGUGAGUAACGCGUGGGAACGUACCUUUUGGUUCGGAACAACCCAGGGAAACUUGGGCUAAUACCGGAUAAGCCCUUACGGGGAAAGAUUUAUCGCCGAAAGAUCGGCCCGCGUCUGAUUAGCUAGUUGGUGAGGUAAUGGCUCACCAAGGCGACGAUCAGUAGCUGGUCUGAGAGGAUGAUCAGCCACAUUGGGACUGAGACACGGCCCAAACUCCUACGGGAGGCAGCAGUGGGGAAUAUUGGACAAUGGGCGCAAGCCUGAUCCAGCCAUGCCGCGUGAGUGAUGAAGGCCCUAGGGUUGUAAAGCUCUUUUGUGCGGGAAGAUAAUGACGGUACCGCAAGAAUAAGCCCGGCUAACUUCGUGCCAGCAGCCGC
rnacentral:rRNA from 1 species